rnacentral:rRNA from 1 species
GCUUAUCACCAUUCCAGAUUGAAUAUACCCGAUCUCGUCUGAUCUCGGAAGUCAAGCAAUCGCGGGCUUGCGUUAGUAGCUUGGAUGGGUGACCGCUUGGGAAUACCAAGUGUGAUAAGCA